CCAGCAGCUGCGGUAAUUCCAGCUCUAAUAGCAUAUACUAAAGUUGUUGCAGUUAAAAAGCUCGUAGUCGGAUGUCGGGCUCGUGUGGGCGGUCGGCUUAGGUCGAAUUGCCUGUGCGGGCCUUUCUGCUUGGGAGUCCUGGUAGGUUAACCCCUAUCUGUGAGUCACAGGCCGUUUACUUUGAAAAAAUUAGAGUGUUCAAAGCAGGCUAUUGCUUGAAUAUAUUAGCAUGGAAUAAUGGAAUAGGACUUUGGUGCUAUUUCGUUGGUUAUGGGACCGAGGUAAUGAUUAAUAGGGACAGUUGGGGCCGUUCAUAUUUCGUUGUCAGAGGUGAAAUUCUUGGAUUUCUGGAAGACGAACUACUGCGAAAGCAUUUAGCAAGGAUGUUUUCAUUAAUCAAGAACGAAAGU
rnacentral:rRNA from 1 species